UACGAAGGGGGCUAGCGUUGUUCGGAUUUACUGGGCGUAAAGCGCACGUAGGCGGAUUGUUAAGUCAGGGGUGAAUCCUGGAGCUCAACUCCAGAACUGCCUUUGAUACUGGCGAUCUCGAGUCCGGGAGAGGUGAGUGGAACUGCGAGUGUAGAGGUGAAAUUCGUAGAUAUUCGCAAGAACACCAGUGGCGAAGGCGGCUCACUGGCCCGGUACUGACGCUGAGGUGCGAAAGCGUGGGGAGCAAACAGG
rnacentral:rRNA from 1 species